GCGAAUACCGGAGAAUGUUAUCACGGGAGACACACGGCGGGUGCUAACGUCCGUCGUGAAGAGGGAAACAACCCAGACCGCCAGCUAAGGUCCCAAAGUCAUGGUUAAGUGGGAAACGAUGUGGGAAGGCCCAGACAGCCAGGAUGUUGGCUUAGAAGCAGCCAUCAUUUAAAGAAAGCGUAAUAGCUCACUGGUCGAGUCGGCCUGCGCGGAAGAUGUAACGGGGCUAAACCAUG
rnacentral:rRNA from 4 species